UAGGGAAUCUUCGGCAAUGGACGAAAGUCUGACCGAGCAACGCCGCGUGAGUGAAGAAGGUUUUCGGAUCGUAAAACUCUGUUGUUAGAGAAGAACAAGGACGUUAGUAACUGAACGUCCCCUGACGGUAUCUAACCAGAAAGCCACGGCUAACUACGUGCCAGCAGCCGCGGUAAGACGUAGGUGGCAAGCGUUGUCCGGAUUUAUUGGGCGUAAAGCGAGCGCAGGCGGUUUCUUAAGUCUGAUGUGAAAGCCCCCGGCUCAACCGGGGAGGGUCAGUGGAAACUGGGAGACUUGAGUGCAGAAGAGGAGAGUGGAAUUCCAUGUGUAGCGGUGAAAUGCGUAGAUAUAUGGAGGAACACCAGUGGCGAAGGCGGCUCUCUGGUCUGUAACUGACGCUGAGGCUCGAAAGCGUGGGGAGCAAACAGG
rnacentral:rRNA from 1 species